AAUGAACGUUGGCGGCGUGGAUUAGGCAUGCAAGUCGUACGGGUCGGUGUAGCAAUACAACGGCAAGUGGCGAAAGGGAGAGUAACACGUAGAUACCUACCCUCUGGUCGGGGAUACCGCGGCAUAACCGCAAGUAAUACCCGAUAAAAUCUCCGGAUCAAAGGUGUGAUUCCGCCGGAGGAGGGGUCUGCGUUCUAUCAGCUUGUUGGUGAGGUAAUGGCUCACCAAGGCUAAGACGGAUACGGGGUGUGAGAGCAUGCCCCCGCUCACUGGGAGAGAAACACUGCCCAGACACCUACGGGUGGCUGCAGUCGAGAAUCUUCGGCAAUGGGCGCAAGCCUGACCGAGCGGCGCCGCGUGCGGGAUGAAGGCCUUCGGGUUGUAAACCGCUGUCGAGGGGAAUGAAGUGUAGGUGGGUACUCCCAUCUAUUUGACAGAUCCCUGGAGGAAGCAUGGGCUAAGUUCGUGCCAGCCGCCGCAGUAA
rnacentral:rRNA from 1 species